UGAUCCUGUGCACAUUUGUACUGUUCACUCUCUGGUGCUGUUCUUGGUUGCAGCUGGGAAGAAAUGCUUCAUUUCCGGAUGUGCAGAUCGAAGUUUCCCCCAGGGCUUAGUGCAGAAAUUGAUGUACCUGUGAACCCUCCCUUCCAUUCAGCUGCAACUUCCUUCUUCCCUCUGGUGCCAUUUGUCACAAGAACAUCAAGAUUGCUAUAAUUCAUUUCUCUUCCAGAAAGAAGUCCAGUUGUUAGUCAUUGGACAAGGGUCUCACAUUUAAAGUACAAAUUGUCAGAUUAAGCAAUGCAAGGAUCUAAGACAACUCUAAAAGACUC